AAAAUGGAGAGUUUGAUCCUGGCUCAGGAUGAAUGCUGGCGGCGUGCCUAAUACAUGCAAGUCGAGCGGUAACAGGGCUUCACCGUGUUCUUGACGCACUUGGCCAUCGAGCAAGUAGCUGAUUUCGAGAGCACAGUGAAGCUGCUGACGAGCGGCGGACGGCUGAGUAACACGUGGGAACGGACCCCAAACUGAG
rnacentral:rRNA from 1 species